rnacentral:sRNA from 1 species
GCCAGGUAUGGUGGUGCAUAGCUAUAGUCCCAGCUACUGGGGAGGCCGAGGAGAGAGGAUCACUUGAGCCCAGGAGUUCAAGGCAGCCUGGACAACAUAGUGAGAACCUCACCUCAA